UCCGGCUUAUCACCGGCAGUCUCGUCAGAGUUCCCAACUAAAUGAUGGCAACAGACGACAAGGGUUGCGCUCGUUGCGGGACUUAACCCAACAUCUCACGACACGAGCUGACGACAGCCAUGCAGCACCUGUAUCCUCCCCGGCCGAACCGAAAGGCCUGAUCUCUCAAGCCCCCAAGAGGUAUGUCAAGUGUGGGUAAGGUUCUUCGCGUUGCUUCGAAUUAAACAACAUGCUCCACCGCUUGUGCGGGUCCCCGUCAAUUCCUUUGAGUUUUAACCUUGCGGCCGUACUCCCCAGGCGGUAUGCUUAAUCCGUUAGGUGUGCCACUGAAAGUCUAAGACUUCCAACAGCUAGCAUACAUCGUUUAUGGCAUGGACUAC
rnacentral:misc_RNA from 1 species